rnacentral:lncRNA from 1 species
UUUUUUUUUCUUUUUUUUCUUUUUUUCUUUUUCUUUCUCUUUUUUCUUUUUCUUUAGAACAAUCUCGGAUCAUCCUCAUCAUCCUGGAUGAGAUUGCAAUCCGCCAGAUUUUUCUUCUUACCCCUCUUCUUUUCGGGACACUCAUAAGCAUGAUGUCCUAAGUCUUGGCAAUUGAAGCACUUGUCCUUGGAUUUAUCACGACGACGCUCUCUUGCUCUCCACUCCGAUCUUGUCAACAAAAGUUGUUCACCGUCUUGGUCGUCCUCGACAUAGCUGCGCAAUCGUUCCUCAUGAACCUUCAACCUCCCCAUGACUUCCUCCAUAGUCAUCGUCUUGAAAUCGCCAAACUGCUCUAUGGCAGAUGCAAUCUGGAGAAACUUUGGCGGGACAGCUCGAAGGAUUUUCUUAAUGGCGGUUGUCUGCUCGAACUUUUCUCCAAGCCCUCGUAUCCCAUUGACGAUGGUUGUCAUCCGGAGAGCAAAGUCAUCGAUUGUUUCCGUGUCCUUCAUCUUGAGCCUCUCGAACUCAGAUUUGAGGGUUUGCAACCUCGCCUCCUUGAUGCAAUCGUCCCCAAGACGAUUCGUCUUUAUCGCCUCCCAAGCUUCAUUUGAUGUCGUCUUCUCAGCAAUGAAGGCGAACACAUCAUCCGGGAUACUUUGAUAGAUAGCCCUCAACGCCUUCUGAUCCAUCGUGUCGUCCACCUUGCGGGAGACGGCCACCACCGCAUCCCAAACUCCUUGUGCGCGCAUCAACGCCUUCAUCUUGAUCGCCUAAAUCGAGUAGUUGCUCUUUGUCAGCAUCGGGUAUGGGACAAACAUGCUUCCUCCUUUUUCAGCCAUGUUCUUGAUCAUCGCUCGACGCAGUCACAGCGCUCACCCAACGAUCUUGAACCUUGCUCUAGAUACCAAUUGUUGGAAUAGCCUUGCCUUUGAGACCAGCCUUCCACUGCGCAUACACGUACGAAGCUGUACCAAGCCCCUGGAUCGACUCCCUCCGGCCGGAACACACGCAUACACGUACAAAGUCGCCGGCUAGAAACUCACGCGAGAACACAAGGCACCAGACUCGAUUAUAGCAACAGGGGCGUGUCGCUCCUGAUCCUUUAUUUCUCUUUUUCUGGUACUCUUUACAACGUAUAUGACCACAUAUAUAUAUAUGGGGCCAAACCGACCUGAAGCUAGCUAACCUAGCAAUCCAAAACUGAUUCAAACUAGGACUCCUAGUCCUUGACGCUCACGUUGGCAUGCAAGCCACGUCUCCAACUCUAAUAUGUAGUUUGGAUUAAUCUCUAACAAUCUCUCCCUAAUCCAAACUUACCACAUCUACGAUUCAGACUAAACCUGUCAUGUCUAUACGCUGAGUAUGACCCGCCUGGAAACAUGCAGCGCCUCCUUGCUCUACAAUGUUGUGCCACCGCCAUUGCUUGGCCGCUACCUUGCACUCGGUCCGCACCAUACUCCUUGUACUUGCUUGCAGUAGAUCCACCCUCCACCGGUCGUACACAUCAUCGCUUUACGAUGGCUUCGCCUACCACCGUCCGCCUUCGGCAUCACACCGAAUCCACACUGGCCGCAACCAGGACACUCCACGAGGACAUGGACAUGACUCACGGAACACCGUGCACACCGCUUCAACCUGUGACUCCUUUGACAAGACGACAGAAAACACAACGAUUUUUUUCUUUUUUUUCAUUUUUUUCAUUUUUUCUUUUUCUUUCUCUUUUUUCUUUUUCCUUAGAACAAUCUCGGAUCAUCCUCAUCAUCCUGGAUGAGAUUGCAAUCCGCCAGAUUUUUUUUCUUACCCCUCUUCUUUUCAGGACAAGCAUGAUGUCCUAGGUCUUGGCAAUUGAAGCACUUGUCCUUGGAUUUAUCACGACGACGCUCUCUUGCUCUCCACUCCGAUCUUGUCAACAAAAGUUGUUCACCGUCUUGGUCGUCCUCGACAUAGCUGCGCAAUCGUUCCUCAUGAACCUUCAACCUCCCCAUGACUUCCUCCAUAGUCAUCGUCUUGAAAUCGCCGAACUGCUCUAUGGCAGAUGCAAUCUGGAGAAACUUUGGCGGGACAGAUCGAAGGAUUUUCUUAACGGCGGUUGUCUCCUCGAACUUUUCUCCAAGCCCUCGUAUCCCAUUGACGAUGGUUGUCAUCCGGAGAGCAAAGUCAUCGAUUGUUUCCGUGUCCUUUAUCUUGAGCCUCUGGAACUCAGACUUGAGGGUUUGCAACCUCGCCUCCUUGAUGCGAUCGUCCCCAAGACGAUUCGUCUUUAUUGCCUCCCAAGCUUCAUGUGAUGUCGUCUUCUCAGCAAUGAAGGCGAACACAUCAUCCGGGAUACUUUGAUAGAUAGCCGUCAACGCCUUCUGAUCCAUCGUGUCGUCCACCUUGCCGGAGACGGCCACCACCGCAUCCCAAACUCCUUGUGCGCGCAUCAACGCCUUCAUCUUGAUCGCCCAAAUCGAGUAGUUGCUCUUCGUCAGCAUCGGGUAUUGGACAAACACGCUUCCUCCUUUUUCAGCCAUGUUCUUGGUCGUCGCUCGACGCAGUCACAGCGCUCACCCAACGAUCUUGAACCUUGCUCUAGAUACCAAUUGUUGGAAUAGCCUUGCCUUUGAGACCAGCCUUCCGCUGCGCAUACACGUACGAAGCUGUACCAAGCCCCUGGAUCGACUCCCUCCGGCAGGAACACACGCGUAUAUGUAUGAAGUCGCCGGCUAGAAACUCACGCCAGAACACAAGGCACCAGACUCGAUUAUAGCAACAGGGGCGUGUCGCUCCUGAUCCUUUAUUUCUCUUUUUCUGGUACUCUUUACAACGUAUAUGACCACAUAUAUAUGGGGCCAAACCAACCUGAAGCUAGCUAACCUAGCAAUCGAAAACUGAUUCAAACUAGGACUCCUAGUACUUGACGCUCACGUUGGCAUGCAAGCCACGUCUCCAACUCUAAUACGUAGUUUGGAUUAAUCUCUAACAAUCUCUCCCUAAUCCAAACUUACCACAUCUACGACUCAGACUAAACAUGUCAUGUCUGUACGCUGAGUAUGACCCGCUUGGAAACAUGCAGCGCCUCCUUGCUCUACAAUGUUGUGCCACCGCCAUUGCUUGGCCGCUGCCUUGCACUCGGUCCGCACCAUACUCCUUGUACUUGCUUGCAGUACAUCCACCCUCCACCGGCCGCACACAUCCUCGCUUUACGAUGGCUUCGCCUACCCCCGUCCGCCUUCGGCAUCACACCGAAUCCACACUGGCCGCAAUCAGGACGUUCCCCGAGGACAUGGACAUGACUCACGGAACACCGUGCACACCGCUUCAACCUGUGACUCCUUUGACAAGACAACAGAAAACACAACGACUUUUUUUCUUUUUUUCUUUUUCUUUCUCUUUUUUCUUUUUCUUUAGAUGUAACUUCUCGAGUAGAUGAUUUUUCAUAUAAAAAACUUUUUCAUCCGAGUUAGUAUGCAAAAGUUAUGCCCAUUUUUACAAAUUUCAGAGAGAUUUUGCAAAUAACGUCAAAAUUCACAUUUGCAAAUUUUCCCAACAACUAGACCACAUAUCACAUGGGAAACUUAUUUUCUUUUAUUUUUUUGACAUUUCCAUCAUUUUAUUUUAUUUUUUUUAAACUGAAAAGGCGAUCCAGGGGGGGUAGAGUUUGAAAAUGGGACCUUUAGUACCGGUUCGUGGCACGAACCGGGACUAAAGGUCUCAUCCCCAUUAGUUCCGAUUCAUGCCUCAAACUGGGAUUAAAGGUCUAAUCUUUAGUCUCGGUUUGAGGCACGAACCGGGACCAAUGGUUGUGGGCCAGGAGCGAGGACCAUUGGUCCCGGUUCAUCCCACCAACCAGGACCAAAAGGUCCAGAUGAACCGGGACCAAUGGCCCACGUGGCCCGGCCGGCCCCCUGGGCUCACGAACCGGGACCAAUGCUCCCAUUGGUCCUGGUUCUGGACAGAACCGGGACUAAUGAGGUCACCCGGCCUGGACCAAAGCCCCCUUUUCUACUAGUGCAUGUUCUUGAUCGUCGCUCAACGCAGUCACAGCGAUCACCCAACGAUCUUGAACCUUGCUCUAGAUACCAAUUGUUGGAAUAGCCUUGCCUUUGAGACCAGCCUUCCGAUGCGCAUACACGUACGAAGUUGUACCAAGCCCCUGGAUCGACUCCCUCCAGCCGGAACACACGCGUAUACGUAUGAAGUCGCCGGCUAGAAACUCACGCGAGAACACAAGGCACCAGACUCGAUUAUAGCAACAGGGGCGUGUCGCUCCUGAUCCUUUAUUUCUCUUUUUCUGGUACUCUUUACAACGUAUAUGACCACAUAUAUAUAUGGGGCCAAACCAACCUGAAGCUAGCUAACCUAGCAAUCCAAAACUUAUUCAAACUAGGACUCCUAGUACUUGACGCUCACGUUGGCAUGCAAGCCACGUCUCCAACUCUAAUACGUAGUUUGGAUUAAUCUCUAACAAUGUCUCCCUAAUCCAAACUUACCACAUCUACGACUCAGACUAAACAUGUCAUGUCUGUACGCUGAGUAUGACCCGCCUGGAAACAUGCAGCGUCUCCUUGCUCUACAAUGUUGUGCCACCGCCAUUGCUUGGCCGCUGCCUUGCACUCGGUCCGCACCAUACUCCUUGUACUUGCUUGUAGUAGAUCCACCCUCCACCGGUCGCACACAUCCUCGCUUUACGAUGGCUUCGCCUACCACCGUCCGCCUUCGGCAUCACACCGAAUCCACACUGGCCGCAACCAGGACGCUCCACGAGGACAUGGACAUGACUCACGGAACAAUGUGCACACCGCUUCAACCUGUGACUCCUUUGACAAGACGACAGAAAACACAACGACUUUUUUUCUUUUUUUUUCUUUUUUUUUCUUUUUCUCUUUUUCUUUUUCUUUUUUCUUUUUCUUUAGAUGUAACUUUUCAAGUAGAUGAUUUUUCAUAUAAAAAACAUUUUCAUCCGAGUUAGUAUGCAAAAGUUAUGCCCAUUUUUACAAAUUUCAGAGAGAUUUUGCAAAUAAAGUCAAAAUUCACAUUUGCAAAUUUUCCCCACAGCUAGACCACAUAUCACAUGGGAAACUUAUUUUCUUUUAUUUUUUUGACAUUUCCAUCAUUUUCUUUUAUUUUUUUAAAAACUGAAAAGGCGAUCCACAGGGGGGGUAGAGUUUGAAAAUAGGACCUUUAGUACCGGUUCGUGGCACGAACCGGGACUAAAGGUCUCAUCCCCAUUAGUCCCGGUUCGUGCCUCAAACCGGGANNNNNNNNNNNNNNNNNNNNNNNNNNNNNNNNNNNNNNNNNNNNNNNNNNNNNNNNNNNNNNNNNNNNNNNNNNNNNNNNNNNNNNNNNNNNNNNNNNNNNNNNNNNNNNNNNNNNNNNNNNNNNNNNNNNNNNNNNNNNNNNNNNNNNNNNNNNNNNNNNNNNNNNNNNNNNNNNNNNNNNNNNNNNNNNNNNNNNNNNNNNNNNNNNNNNNNNNNNNNNNNNNNNNNNNNNNNNNNNNNNNNNNNNNNNNNNNNNNNNNNNNNNNNNNNNNNNNNNNNNNNNNNNNNNNNNNNNNNNNNNNNNNNNNNNNNNNNNNNNNNNNNNNNNNNNNNNNNNNNNNNNNNNNNNNNNNNNNNNNNNNNNNNNNNNNNNNNNNNNNNNNNNNNNNNNNNNNNNNNNNNNNNNNNNNNNNNNNNNNNNNNNNNNNNNNNNNNNNNNNNNNNNNNNNNNNNNNNNNNNNNNNNNNNNNNNNNNNNNNNNNNNNNNNNNNNNNNNGACCAAUAGUUGUGGGCCAGGAGCGAGGCCCAUUGGUCCCGGUUCAUCCCACCAACCGGGACCAAAAGGUCCAGAUGAACCGGGACAAAUGGCCCACGUGGCCCGGCCGGCCCCCUGGGCUCAUGAACCGGGACCAAUGCUCCCAUUGGUCCCGGUUCUGGACUGAACUAGGACUAAUGGGGUCACCCGGCCUAGACCAAAGCCCCCUUUUCUACUAGUGCAUGUUCUUAAUCGUCGCUCGACGCAGUCACAGCGAUCACCCAACGAUCUUGAACCUUGCUCUUGAUACCAAUUGUUGGAAUAGCCUUGCCUCUGAGACGAGCCUUCCAAUGCGCAUACACGUACGAAGCUGUACCAAGCCCCUGGAUCGACUCCCUCCGGCAGGAACACAAGCGUAUACGUAUGAAGUCGCCGGCUAGAAACUCACGCGAGAACACAAGGCACCAGACUCGAUUAUAGCAAUAGGGGCGUGUCGCUCCUGAUCCUUUAUUUCUCUUUUUCUGGUACUCUUUACAACGUAUAUGACCACAUAUAUAUAUGGGGCCAAACCGACCUAGAGCUAGCUAACCUAGCAAUCCAAAACUGAUUCAAACUAGGACUCCUAGUACUUGACGCUCACGUUGGCAUGCAAGCCACGUCUCCAACUCUAAUACGUAGUUUGGAUUAAUCUCUAACAAUCUCUCCCUAAUCCAAACUUACCAUAUCUACGACUCAGACUAAACAUGUCAUGUCUGUACGCUGAGUAUGACCCGCUGGAAACAUGCAACGCCUCCUUGCUCUACAAUGUUGUGCCACCGCCAUUGAUUGUCCGCUUCCUUGCACGCGGUCCGCACCAUACUCCUUGUACUUGCUUGCAGUAGAUCCACCCUCCACCGGUCGCACACAUCCUCGCUUUACGAUGGCUUCGCCCACCACCGUCCGCCUUCGGCAUCACACCGAAUCCACACUGGCCGCAACCAGGACGCUCCACAAGGACAUGGACAUGACUCACGGAACACCGUGCACACCGCUUCAACCUGUGACUCCUUUGACAAGACGACAGAAAACACAACGACUUUUUUUCUUUUUUUUCUUUUUUUUCUUUUUUUCCUUUUUUCUUUUUCUUUCUCUUUUUUCUUUUUCUUUAGAUGUAACUUUUCGAGUAGAUGAUUUUUCAUAUAAAAAACUUUUUCAUCCGAGUUAGUAUGCAAAAGUUAUGCCCAUUUUUACAAAUUUCAGAGAGAUUUUGCAAAUAAAGUCAAAAUUCACAUUUGCAAAUUUUACCAACAACUAGACCACAUAUCACAUGGGAAACUUAUUUUCUUUUAUUUUUUUGACAUUUCCAUCGUUUUCUUUUAUAUUUUUAAAACCUGAAAAGGCGAUCUAGGGGGGUAGAGUUUGAAAAUGGGACCUUUAGUACCGGUUCGUGGCACGAACCGGGACUAAAGGUCUCAUGCCCAUUAGUCCUGGUUCAUGCCUCAAACCGGGACUAAAGGUCUAAUCUUUAGUCCCGGAUUGAGGCACGAACCAGGACCAAUAGUUGUGGGCCAGGAGCGAGGCCCAUUGGUCCCGGUUCAUGCCACCAACCGGGACCAAAAGGUCCAGAUGAACCGGGACCAAUGGCCCACGUGGCCCGGCCGACCCCUGGGCUCACUAAUCGGGACCAAUGCUCCCAUUGGUCCCGGUUCUGGACUAAACCGGGACUAAUGGGGUCACCCGGCCUGGACCAAAGCCCCCUUUUCUACUAGUGCAUGUUCUUGAUCGUCGCUCGACGCAGUCACAGUGCUCAGCCAACGAUCUUGAACCUUGCUCUAGAUACCAAUUAUUGGAAUAGCCUUGCCUUUGAGACCAACCUUCUGCUGCGCAUACACGUACGAAGUUGUACCAAGCCCCUGGAUCGACUCCCUCCGGCCGGAACACACGCCUAUAUGUACGAAGUCGACGGCUAGAAACUCACGUGAGAACACAAGGCACCAGACUCGAUUAUAGCAACAGGGGCGAGUUGCUCCUGAUCCUUUAUUUCUCUUUUUCUGGUACUCUUUACAACGUAUAUGACCACAUAUAUAUGGGGCCAAACCGACCUGAAGCUAGCUAACCUAGCAAUCCAAAACUGAUUCAAACUAGGACUCCUAGUACUUGACGCUCAGGUUGGCAUGCAUGCCACGUCUCCAACUCUAAUACGUAGUUUGGAUUAAUCUCUAACAAUCUCUCCCUAAUCCAAACUUACCACAUCUACGACUCAGACUAAACAUGUCAUGUCUGUACACUGAGUAUGACCCGCCUGGAAACAUGCAGCGCCUUCUUGCUCUACAAUGUUGUGCCACCGCCAUUGCUUGGCUGCUGCCUUGCACUCGGUCCGCCCAUACUCCUUGUACUUGCUUGCAGUAGAUCCACCCUCCACCGGUCGCACACAUCCUCGCUUUACGAUGGCUUCGCCUACCACCGUCCGCCUUCGGCAUCACACCGAAUCCACACUGGCCGCAACCAGGACGCUCCACGAGGACAUGGACAUGACUCACGGAACACCGUGCACACCGCUUCAACCUGUGAUUCCUUUGACAAGACGACAGAAAACACAACGACUUUUUUUCUUUUUUUUCUUUUUUUUCUUUUUUUCUUUUUCUUUCUCUUUUUUGUUUUUCUUUAGAUGUAACUUUUCGAGUAGAUGAUUUUUCAUAUAAAAAACUUUUUCAUCCGAGUUAGUAUGCAAAAGUUAUGCCCAUUUUUACAAAUUUCAGAGAGACUUUGCAAAUAAAGUCAAAAUUCACAUUUGCAAAUUUUCCCAACAACUAGACCACAUAUCACAUGGGAAACUUAUUUUCUUUUAUUUUUUUGACAUUUCCAUCGUUUUCUUUUAUUUUUUAAAAAACUGAAAAGGUGAUCUAGGGGGGUAGAGUUUGAAAAUGGGACCUUUAGUACCGGUUCGUGGCACGAACCGUGACUAAAGGUCUCAUGCCCAUUAGUCCUGGUUCAUGGUUCAAACCGGGACUAAAGGUCUAAUCUUUAGUCCCGGUUUGAGGCACGAACCGGGACCAAUAGUUGUGGGCCAGGAGCGAGGCCCAUUGGUCCCGGUUCAUGCCACCAACCGGGACCAAAAGGUCCAAAUGAACCGGGACCAAUGGCCCACGUGGCCCGGCCAACCCCUGGGCUCACGAAUCGGGACCAAUGCUCCCAUUGGUCCCGUUUCUGGACUGAACCGGGACUAAUGGGGUCACCCGGCCUGGACCAAAGCCCCCUUUUCUACUAGUGCAUGUUCUUGAUCGUCGCUCGACGCAGUCACAGUGCUCACCCAACGAUCUUGAACCUUGCUCUAGAUACCAAUUAUUGGAAUAGCCUUGCCUUUGAGACCAACCUUCCGCUGCGCAUACACGUACGGAGUUGUACCAAGCCCCUGGAUCGACUCCCUCCGGCCGGAACACACGCCUAUAUGUACGAAGUCGCCGGCUAGAAACUCACGUGAGAACACAAGGCACAACACUCGAUUAUAGCAACAGGGGCGAGUUGCUCCGGAUCCUUUAUUUCUCUUUUUCUGGUACUCUUUACAACGUAUAUGACCACAUAUAUAUGGGGCCAAACCGACCUGAAGCUAGCUUACCUAGCAAUCCAAAACUGAUUCAAACUAGGACUCCUAGUACUUGACGCUCAGGUUGGCAUGCAUGCCACGUCUCCAACUCUAAUACGUAGUUUGGAUUAAUCUCUAACAAUCUCUCCCUAAUCCAAACUUACCACAUCUACGACUCAGACUAAACAUGUCAUGUCUGUACACUGAGUAUGACCCGCCUGGAAACAUGCAGCGCCUUCUUGCUCUACAAUGUUGUGCCACCGCCAUUGCUUGGCUGCUGCCUUGCACUCGGUCCGCACCAUACUCCUUGUACUUGCUUGCAGUAGAUCCACCCUCCACCGGUCGCACACAUUCUCGCUUUACGAUGGCUUCGCCUACCACCGUCCGCCUUCGGCAUCACACCGAAUCCACACUGGCCGCAACCAGGACGCUCCACGAGGACAUGGACAUGACUCACGGAACACCGUGCACACCGCUUCAACCUGUGAUUCCUUUGACAAGACGACAGAAAACACAACGACUUUUUUUCUUUUUUUUCUUUUUUUCUUUUUCUUUCUCUUUUUUCUUUUUAUUUAGAUGUAACUUUUCGAGUAGAUGAUUUUUCAUAUAAAAAACUUUUUCAUCCGAGUUAGUAUGCAAAAGUUAUGCCCAUUUUUACAAAUUUCAGAGAGAUUUUGCAAAUAAAGUCAAAAUUCACAUUUGCAAAUUUUCCCAACAACUAGACCACAUAUCACAUGGGAAACUUAUUUUCUUUUAUUUUUUUGACAUUUCCAUCGUUUUCUUUUAUUUUUUUAAAAACUGAAAAGGUGAUUUAGGGGGGUAGAGUUUGAAAAUGGGACCUUUAGUACCGGUUCGUGGCACGAACCGGGACUAAAGGUCUCAUGCCCAUUAGUCCUGGUUCAUGCCUCAAACUGGGACUAAAGGUCUAAUCUUUGGUCCCGGUUUGAGGCACGAACCGGGACCAAUAGUUGUGGGCCAGGAGCGAGGCCCAUUGGUCCCGGUUCAUCCCACCAACCGGGACCAAAAGAUCCAGAUGAACCGGGACCAAUGGCCCACGUGGCCCGGCCGACCCCUGGGCUCACGAAUCGGGACCAAUGCUCCCAUUGGUCCCGGUUCUGGACUGAACCGGGACUAAUGGGGUCACCCGGCCUGGACCAAAGCCCCCUUUUCUACUAGUGCAUGUUCUUGAUCGUCGCUCGACGCAGUCACAGUGCUCACCCAACGAUCUUGAACCUUGCUCUAGAUACCAAUUAUUGGAAUAGCCUUGCCUUUGAGACCAGCCUUCCGCCGCGCAUACACGUACGAAGUUGUACCAAGCCCCUCGAUCGACUCCCUCCAGCCGGAACACACGCCUAUAUGUACGAAGUCGCCGGCUAGAAACUCACGCGAGAACACAAGGCACCAGACUCGAUUAUAGCAACAGGGGCGAGUUGCUCCUGAUCCUUUAUUUCUCUUUUUCUGGUACUCUUUACAACGUAUAUGACCACAUAUAUAUGGGGCCAAACCGACCUGAAGCUAGCUAACCUAGCAAUCCAAAACUGAUUCAAACUAGGACUCCUAGUACUUGACGCUCACGUUGGCAUGCAAGCCACGUCUCCAUCUCUAAUACGUAGUUUGGAUUAAUCUCUAACAAUCUCUCCCUAAUCCAAACUUACCACGUCUACGACUCAGACUAAACAUGUCAUGUCUGUACGCUGAGUAUGACCCGCCUGGAAACAUGCAGCGCCUCCUUGCUCUACAAUGUUGUGCCACCGCCAUUGCUUGGCCGCUGCCUUGCACUCGGUCCGCACCAUACUCCUUGUACUUGCUUGCAGUAGAUCCACCCUCCACCGGUCGCACACAUCCUCGCUUUACGAUGGCUUCGCCUACCACCGUCCGCCUUCGGCAUCACACCGAAUCCACACUAGCCGCAACCAGGACGCUCCACGAGGACAUGGACAUGACUCACGGAACACUGUGCACACCGCUUCAACCUGUGACUCCUUUGACAAGACGACAGAAAACACAACGACUUUUUUUCUUUUUUUUCUUUUUUUCUUUUUUUCUUUUUCUUUCUCUUUUUUCUUUUUCUUUAGAUGUAACUUUUCGAGUAGAUGAUUUUUCAUAUAAAAAAUUUUUUCAUCCGAGUUAGUAUGCAAAAGUUAUGCCCAUUUUUACAAAUUUCAGAGAGAUUUUGCAAAUAAAGUCAAAAUUCACAUUUGCAAAUUUUCCCAACAAGUAGACCACAUAUCACAUGGGAAACUUAUUUUCUUUUAUUUUUUUGACAUUUCCGUCAUUUUCUUUUAUUUUUUUUUAAACUGAANNNNNNNNNNNNNNNNNNNNNNNNNNNNNNNNNNNNNNNNNNNNNNNNNNNNNNNNNNNNNNNNNNNNNNNNNNNNNNNNNNNNNNNNNNNNNNNNNNNNNNNNNNNNNNNNNNNNNNNNNNNNNNNNNNNNNNNNNNNNNNNNNNNNNNNNNNNNNNNNNNNNNNNNNNNNNNNNNNNNNNNNNNNNNNNNNNNNNNNNNNNNNNNNNNNNNNNNNNNNNNNNNNNNNNNNNNNNNNNNNNNNNNNNNNNNNNNNNNNNNNNNNNNNNNNNNNNNNNNNNNNNNNNNNNNNNNNNNNNNNNNNNNNNNNNNNNNNNNNNNNNNNNNNNNNNNNNNNNNNNNNNNNNNNNNNNNNNNNNNNNAAAGGUCUAAUCUUUAGUCCCGGUUUGAGGCACGAACCGGGACCAAUAGUUGUGGGCCAGGAGCGAGGCCCAUUGGUCCCGGUUCAUCCCACCAACCAGGACCAAAAGGUCCAGAUGAAUCGGGACCAAUGGCCCACGUGGCCCGGCCGGCCCCCUGGGCUCACGAACCGGGACCAAUGCUCCCAUUGGUCCCGGUUCUGGACUGAACCGGGACUAAUGGGAUCACCCGGCCUGGACCAAAGCCCAUUUUCUACUAGUGCAUGUUCUUGAUCGUCGCUCGACGCAGUCAAAGUGAUCACCCAACGAUCUUGAACCUCGCUCUAGAUACCAAUUGUUGGAAUAGCCUUGCCUUUGAGACCAGCCUUCCGAUGCGCAUACACGUACGAAGCUGUACCAAGCCCCUGGAUCGACUCCCUCCGGCCGGAACACAUGCGUAUACGUACGAAGUCGCCGGCUAGAAACUCACGCGAGAACACAAGGCACCAGACUCGAUUAUAGCAACAGGGGCGUGUCGCUCCUGAUCCAUUAUUUCUCUUUUCCUGGUACUCUUUACAACGUAUAUGACCACAUAUAUAUAUAUAUGGGGCCAAACCGACCUGAAGCUAGCUAACCUAGCAAUCCAAAACUGAUUCAAACUAGGACUCCUAGUACUUGACGCUCACGUUGGCAUGCAAGCCACGUCUCCAACUCUAAUACGUGGUUUGGAUUAAUCUCUAACAAUCUCUCCCUAAUCCAAACUUACCACAUCUACGACUCAGACUAAACAUGUCAUGUCUGUACGCUGAGUAUGACACGCCUGGAAACAUGCAGCGCCUCCUUGCUCUACAAUGUUGUGCCACCGCCAUUGCUUGGCCGCUGCCUUGCACUCGGUCCGCACCAUACUCCUUGUACUUGCUUGAAGUAGAUCCACCCUCCACCGGUCGCACACAUCCUCGCUUUACGAUGGCUUCGCCUACCACCGUCCGCCUUCGGCAUCACACCGAAUCCACACUGGCCGCAACUAGGACGCUCCACGAGGACAUGGACAUGACUCACGGAACACCGUGCACACCGCUUCAACCUGUGACUCCUUUGACAAGACGAAAGAAAACACAACGACUUUUUUUCUUUUUUUCUUUUUUCCUUUUUUUUCUUUUUUUCUUUUUCUUUCUCUUUUUUCUUUUUGUUUAGAUGUAACUUUUCGAGUAGAUGAUUUUUCAUAUAAAAAACUUUUUCAUCCGAGUUACUAUGCAAAAGCUAUGCCCGUGUUUACAAAUUUCAGAGAGAUUUUGCAAAUAAAGUCAAAAUUCACAUUUGCAAAUUUUCCCAACAACUAGACCACAUAUCACAUGGGAAACUUAUUUUUUUUAUUUUUUGACAUUUCCAUCAUUUUCUUUUAUUUUUUUAAAAACUGAAAAGGCGAUCCACAGGAGGGGGGUAGAGUUUGAAAAUGGGACCUUUAGUACCGGUUCGUGGCACGAACCGGGACUAAAGGUCUCAUCCCCAUUAGUCCCGGUUCGUGUCUCAAACCGGGACUAAAGGUCUAAUCUUUAGUCCCGGUUUGAGGCACGAACCGGGACCAAUAGUUGUGGGCCAGGAGCGAGGCCCAUUGUUCCCAGUUCAGCCCACCAACCGGGACCAAAAGGUCCAAAUGAACCGGGACCAAUGGCCCACAUGCCCCGGCCGGCCCCCUGGGCUCACGAACCGGGACCAAUGCUCCUAUUGGUCCCGGUUCUGGACUGAACCGGGACUAAUGGGGUCACCCGGCCUGGACCAAAGCCCCCUUUUCUACUAGUGCAUGUUCUUGAUCGUCGCUCGACGCAGUCAGAGCGCUCACCCAACGAUCUUGAACCUUGCUCUAGAUACCAAUUGUUGGAAUAGCCUUGCCUUUGAGACCAGCCUUCCGAUGUGCAUACACGUAGGAAGCUGUACCAAGCCCCUGGAUCGACUCCCUCCGGCCGGAACACACGCGUAUACGUAUGAAGUCGCCGGCUAGAAACUCACGCGAGAACACAAGGCACUAGACUCGAUUAUAGCAACAGGGGCGUGCCGCUCCUGAUCCUUUAUUUCUCUUUUUCUGGUACUCUUUACAACGUAUAUGACCACAUAUAUAUAUAUAUAUAUUAUAUAUAUAUAUAUAUAUAUAUAUAUUGGGCCAAACCGACCUGAAGCUAGCUAACCUAGCAAUCCAAAACUGAUUCAAACUAGGACUCCUAGUACUUGACGCUCACGUUGGCAUGCAAGCCAUGUCUCCAACUCUAAUACGUAGUUUGGAUUAAUCUCUAACAAUCUCUCCCUAUUCCAAACUUACCACAUCUACGACUCAGACUAAACAUGUCAUGUCUGUACGCUGAGUAUGACCCGCCUGGAAACAUGCAGCGCCUCCUUGCUCUACAAUGUUGUGCCACCGCCAUUGCUUGGCCGCUGCCUUGCACUCGGUCCGCACCAUACUCCUUGUACUUGCUUGCAGUAGAUCCACCCUCCACCGGUCGCACACAUCCUCGCUUUACGAUGGCUUCGCCUACCACCGUCCGCCUUCGGCAUCACACCGAAUCCACACUGGCCGCAACUAGGACGCUCCACGAGGACAUGGACAUGACUCACGGAACACCGUGCACACCGCUUCAACCUAUGACUCCUUUGACAAGACGACAGAAAACACAACGACUUUUUUCUUUUUUUAUUUUUUUUCUUUUUUUUCUUUUUUCUUUUUCUUUCUCUUUUUUCUUUUUCUUUAGAACAAUCUCGGACCAUCCUCAUCAUCCUGGAUGAGAUUGCAAUCCGCCAGAUUUUUCUUCUUACCCCUCUUCUUUUCCGAACACUCAUAAGCAUGAUGUCCUAGGUCUUGGCAAUUGAAGCACUUGUCCUUGGAUUUAUCAUGACGACGCUCUCUUGCUCUCCACACUGAUCUUGUCAACAAAAGUUGUUCACCGUCUUGGUCAUCCUCGACAUAGCUGCGCAAUCGUUCCUCUUGAACCUUCAACCUCCCCAUGACUUCCUCCAUAGUCAUCGUCUUGAAAUCGCCAAACUGCUCUAUGGCAGAUGCAAUCUGGAGAAACUUUGGCGGGACAGCUCGAAGGAUUUUCUUAACGGCGGUUGUCUCCUCGAACUUUUCUCCAAGCCCUUGUAUCACAUUGACGAUGGUUGUCAUCCGGAGAGCAAAGUCAUCGAUUGUUUCCGUGUCCUUCAUCUUGAGCCUCUCGAACUCAGACUUGAGGGUUUGCAACCUCGCCUCCUUGAUGCGAUCGUCCCCAAGACGAUUCGUCUUUAUCGCCUCCCAAGCUUCAUGUGAUGUCGUCUUCUAACCAAUGAAGGCGAACACAUCAUCCGGGAUACUUUGAUAGAUAGCCGUCAACCCCUUCUGAUCCAUCGUUGCGUCCACCUUGCCGGAGACGGCCACCACCGCAUCCCAAACUCCUUGUGCGCGCAUCAACGCCUUCAUCUUGAUCGCCCAAAUCGACUAGUUGCUCUUCGCCAGCAUCGGGUAUUGGACAAACACGCUUCCUCCUUUUUCAGCCAUGUUCUUGAUCGUCGCUCGACGCAGUCACAACACUCACCCAACGAUCUUGAACCUUGCUCUAGAUACCAAUUGUUGGAAUAGCCUUGCCUUUGAGACAAGCCUUCCGCUGCGCAUACACGUACGAAGCUGUACUAAGCCCCUGGAUCGACUCCCUCCGGCCGGAACACACGCGUAUACGUACGAAGUCACCGGCUAGAAACUCACGCGAGAACACAAGGCACCAGACUCGAUUAUAGCAACAGGGGCGUGUCGCUCCUGAUCCUUUAUUUCUCUUUUUCUGGUACUCUUUACAACGUAUAUGACCACAUAUAUAUAUGGGGCCAAACCAACCUGAAGCUAGCUAACCUAGCAAUCCAAAACUGAUUCAAACUAGGACUCCUAGUACUUGACGCUCACGUUGGCAUGCAAGCCACGUCUCCAACUCUAAUACAUGGUUUGGAUUAAUCUCUAACAAUCUCUCCCUAAUCCAAACUUACCACAUCUACGACUCAGACUAAACAUGUCAUGUCUGUACUCUGAGUAUGACCCGCCUGGAAACAUGCACCGCCUCCUUGCUCUACAAUGUUGUGCUACCGCCAUUGCUUGGCCGCUACCUUGCACUCGGUCCGCACCAUACUCCUUGUACUUGCUUGCAGUAGAUCCACCCUCCACCGGUCGCACACAUCCUUGCUUUACGAUGGCUUCGCCUACCACCGUCCGCCUUCGGCAUCACACCGAAUCCACACUGGCCGCAACUAGGACGCUCCACGAGGACAUGGACAUGACUCACGGAACACCGUGCACACCGCUUCAACCUGUGACUCCUUUGACAAGACGAAAGAAAACACAACGACUUUUUUUCUUUUUUUUCUUUUUUCCUUUUUUUCUUUUUUUUCUUUUUCUUUUUCUUUAGAUGUAACUUUUCGAGUAGAUGAUUUUUCAUAUAAAAAACUUUUUCAUCCGAGUUAGUAUGCAAAACUUAUGCCCAUUUUUACAAAUUUCAGAGAGAUUUUGCAAAUAAAGUCAAAUUUCACAUUUGCAAAUUUUCCCAACAACUAGACCACAUAUCACAUGGGAAACUUAUUUUCUUUUAUUUUUUUGACAUUUCCAUCAUUUUCUUUUAUUUUUUUUAAAACUGAAAAGGCGAUCCACAGGGGGGGUAGAGUUUGAAAAUGGGACCUUUAGUACCGGUUCGUGGCACGAACCGGGACUAAAGGUCUCAUCCCCAUUAGUCCCGGUUCGUGCCUCAAACCGGGACUAAAGGUCUAAUCUUUAGUCCCGGUUUGAGGCACGAACCGGGACCAAUAGUUGUGGGCUAGGAGCGAGGCCCAUUGGUCCCGGUUCAUCCCACCAACCGGGACCAAAAGGUCCAGAUGAACCGGGACCAAUGGCCCACGUGGCCCGGCCGGCCCCCUGGGCUCACGAACCGGGACCAAUGCUCCCAUUGGUCCCGGUUCUGGACUGAUCCGGGACUAAUGGGGUCACCCGGCCUGGACCAAAGCCCACUUUUCUACUAGUGCAUGUUCUUGAUCGUUGCUCGACGCAGUCAUAGCGCUCACCCAACGAUCUUGAACCUUGCUCUAGAUACCAAUUGUUGGAAUAGCCUUGCCUUUGAGACCAGCCUUCCGAUGCGCAUACACGUACGAAGCUGUACCAAGCCCCUCGAUCGACUCCCUCCGACCGGAACACACGCGUAUACAUACGAAGUCGCCGGCUAGAAACUCACGCGAGAACACAAGGCACCAGACUCGAUUAUAGCAACAGGGGCGUGUCGCUCCUGAUCCUUUAUUUCUCUUUUUCUGGUACUCUUUACAACGUAUAUGACCACAUAUAUAUAUGGGGCCAAACCGGCCUGAAGCUAGCUAACCUAGCAAUCCAAAACUGAUUCAAACUAGGACUCCUAGUACUUGACGCUCACGUUGGCAUGCAAGCCACGUCUCCAACUCUAAUACGUAGUUUGGAUUAAUCUCUAACAAUCUCUCCCUAAUCCAAACUUACCACAUCUACGACUCAGACUAAACAUGUCAUGUCUGUACGCUAAGUAUGACCCUCCUGGAAACAUGCAGCGCCUCCUUGCUCUACAAUGUUGUGCCACCGCCAUUGCUUGGCCGCUGCCUUGCACUCGGUCCGCACCAUACUCCUUGUACUUGCUUGUAGUAGAUCCACCCUCCACCGGUCGCACACAUCCUCGCUUUACGAUGGCUUCGCCUACCACCGUCCACCUUUGGCAUCACACCGAAUCCACACUGGCCACAACCAGGACGCUCCACGAGGACAUGGACAUGACUCACGGAACACCGUGCACACCGCUUCAACCUGUGACUCCUUUGACAAGACGACAGAAAUCACAACGACUUUUUUUCUUUUUUCCUUUUUUUCUUUUUGUUUCUCUUUUUUCUUUUUCUUUAGAUGUAACUUUUCGAGUAGAUGAUUUUUCAUAUAAAAAACUUUUUCAUCCGAGUUACUAUGCAAAAGCUAUGCCCAUUUUUACAAAUUUCAGAGAGAUUUUGCAAAUAAAGUCAAAAUUCACAUUUGCAAAUUUUCCCAACAACUAGACCACAUAUCACAUGGGAAACUUAUUUUUUUUAUUUUUUUGACAUUUCAAUCAUUUUCUUUUAUUUUUUAAAAAACUAAAAGGCGAUCCAUGGGGGGGGGGUAGAGUUUGAAAAUGGGACCUUUAGUACCGGUUCGUGGCACGAACCGGGACUAAAGGUCUCAUGCCCAUUAGUCCUGGUUCAUGCCUCAAACCGGGACUAAAGGUCUAAUCUUUAGUCCCGAUUUGAGGCACGAACCGGGACCAAUAGUUGUGGGCCAGGAGCGAGGCCCAUUGGUCCCGGUUCAUCCCACCAACCGGGACCAAAUGGUCCAAAUGAACCGGGACCAAUGGCCCAUGUGGCCUGGCCGGCCCCCUGGGCUCAUGAACCGGGACCAAUGCUCCCAUUGGUCCCGGUUCUGGACUGAACCGGGACUAAUGGGGUCACCCGGCCUGGACCAAAGCACCCUUUUCUACUAGUGCAUGUUCUUGAUCGUCGCUCGAUGCAGUCACAGCGAUCACCCAACGAUCUUGAACCUUGCUCUAGAUACCAAUUGUUGGAAUAGCCUUGCCUUUGAGACCAGCCUUCCGAUGCGCAUACACGUACGAAGCUGUACCAAGCCCCUGGAUCGACUCCCUCCGGCCGGAACACACGCGUAUACGUACGAAGUCGCCGGCUAGAAACUCUCGCGAGAACACAAGGCACCAGACUCGAUUAUAGCAACAGGGGCGUGUCGCUCCUGAUCCUUUAUUUCUCUUUUUCUGGUACUCUUUACAACGUAUAUGACCACAUAUAUAUAUGGGGCCAAACCGACCUGAAGCUAGCUAACCUAGCAAUCCAAAACUGAUUCAAACUAGGACUCCUAGUACUUGACACUCACGUUGGCAUGCAAGCCACGUCUCCAACUCUAAUAUGUAGUUUGGAUUAAUCUCUAACAAUCUCUCCCCAAUCCAAACUUACCACAUCUACGACUCACACUAAACAUGUCAUGUCUGUACGCUGAGUAUGACCCGCCUGGAAACAUGCAGCGCCUCCUUGCUCUACAAUGUUGUGCCACCGCCAUUGCUUGGCCGCUGCCUUGCACUCGGUCCGCACCAUACUCCUUGUACUUGCUUGCAGUAGAUCCACCCUCCACCGGUCGCACACAUCCUCGCUUUACGAUGGCUUCGCCUACCACCGUCCGCCUUCGGCAUCACACCGAAUCCACACUGGCCGCAACCAGGACGCUCCACGAGGACAUGGACAUGACUCAAGGAACACCGUGCACACCGCUUCAACCUGUGACUCCUUUGACAAGACGAAAGAAAACACAACGACUUUUUUUCUUUUUUUUCUUUUUUCCUUCUUUUCUUUUUUUAUUUUUCUUUCUCUUUUUUCUUUUUCUUUAGAUGUAACUUUUCGAGUAGAUGAUUUUUCAUAUAAAAAACUUUUUCAUCCGAGUUAGUAUGCAAAAGUUAUGCCCAUUUUUACAAAUUUUAGAGAGAUUUUGCAAAUAAUGUCAAAAUUCACAUUUGCAAAUUUUCCCAACAACUAGACCACAUAUCACAUGGGAAACUUAUUUUCUUUUAUUUUAUUGAAAUUUCCAUCAUUUUCUUUUAUUUUUUUUCUAAANNNNNNNNNNNNNNNNNNNNNNNNNNNNNNNNNNNNNNNNNNNNNNNNNNNNNNNNNNNNNNNNNNNNNNNNNNNNNNNNNNNNNNNNNNNNNNNNNNNNNNNNNNNNNNNNNNNNNNNNNNNNNNNNNNNNNNNNNNNNNNNNNNNNNNNNNNNNNNNNNNNNNNNNNNNNNNNNNNNNNNNNNNNNNNNNNNNNNNNNNNNNNNNNNNNNNNNNNNNNNNNNNNNNNNNNNNNNNNNNNNNNNNNNNNNNNNNNNNNNNNNNNNNNNNNNNNNNNNNNNNNNNNNNNNNNNNNNNNNNNNNNNNNNNNNNNNNNNNNNNNNNNNNNNNNNNNNNNNNNNNNNNNNNNCGUGCCUCAAACCGGAACUAAAGGUCUAAUCUUUAGUCCCGAUUUGAGGCACGAACCGGGACCAAUAGUUGUGGGCCAGGAGCGAGGCCCAUUGGUCCCGGUUCAUCCCACCAACCGGGACCAAAAGGUCCAGAUGAACCGGGACCAAUGGCCCACGUUGCCCGGCCGGCCCCCUGGGCUCACGAACCGGAACCAAUGCUCCCAUUGGUCCCGGUUCUGGACUGAACCGGGACUAAUGGGGUCACCCGGCCUGGACCAAAGCCCACUUUUCUACUAGUGCAUGUUCUUGAUCGUCGCUCGACGCAGUCAUAGCGCUCACCCAACGAUCUUGAACCUUGCUCUAGAUACCAAUUGUUGGAAUUGCCUUGCCUUUGAGACCAGCCUUCCGAUGCGCAUACACGUACGAAGUUGUACCAAGCCCCUGUAUCGACUCCCUUCGGCCGGAACACACGCGUAUACGUACGAAGUCGCCGGCUAGAAACUCAAGCGAAAACACAAGGCACCAGAGUCGAUUAUAGCAACAGGGGCGUGUCGCUCCUGAUCCUUUAUUUCUCUUUUUCUGGUACUCUUUACAACGUAUAUGACCACAUAUAUAUAUGGGGCCAAACCGACCUGGAGCUAGCUAACCUAGCAAUCCAAAACUGAUUCAAACUAGGACUCCUAGUACUUGACGCUCACGUUGGCAUGCAAGCCACGUCUCCAACUCUAAUACGUAGUUUGGAUUAAUCUCUAACAAUCUCUCCCCAAUCCAAACUUACCACAUCUACCACUCAGACUAAACAUGUCAUGUCUGUACGCUGAGUAUGACCCGCCUGGAAACAUGCAGCGCCUCCUUGCUCUACAAUGUUGUGCCACCGCCAUUGCUUGGCCGCUGCCUUGCACUCGGUCCGCACCAUACUCCUUGUACUUGCUUGUAGUAGAUCCACCCUCCACGGGUCGCACACAUCCUCGUUUUACGAUGGCUUCGCCUACCACCGUCCGCCUUCGGCAUCACACUGAAUCAACACUGGCCGCAACUAGGACGCUCCACGAGGACAUGGACAUGACUCACGGAACACCGUGCACACCGCUUCAACCUGUGACUCCUUUGACAAGACGACAGAAAACACAACGACUUUUUUUCUUUUUUUUCUUUUUUUUCUUUUUUCUUUUUCUUUCUCUUUUUUCUUUUUCUUUAGAUGUAACUUUUCGAGUAGAUGGUUUUUUAUAUAAAAAACUUUUUCAUCCGAGUUAGUAUGCAAAAGUUAUGCCCAUUUUUACAAAUUUCAGAGAGAUUUUGCAGAUAAAGUCAAAAUUCACAUUUGCAAAUUUUCCCAACAACUAGACCACAUAUCACAUGGGAAACUUAUUUUCUUUUAUUUUUUUGACAUUUCCAUCAUUUUCUUCUCUUCUUUUUAAAACUGAAAAGACGAUCCACGAGGGGGGGGGUAGAGUUUGAAAAUGGGAUCUUUAGUACCGGUUCGUGGCACGAACCGGGACUAAAGGUCUCAUCCCCAUUAGUCCCGGUUCGUGCCUCGAACCGGGACCAAUAGUUGUGGGCCAGGAGCGAGGCCCAUUGGUCCCGGUUCAUCCCACCAACCGGGACCAAAAGGUCCAGAUGAACCAGGACCAAUGGCCCACGUGGCCCGGCCGGCCCCCUGGGCUCACGAACCGGGACCAAUGCUCCCAUUGGUCCCGGUUCUGGACUGAACCGGGACUAAUGGGGUCACCCAGCCUGGAGCAAAGCCCACUUUUCUACUAGUGCAUGUUCUUGAUCGUCGCUCGACGCAGUCAUAGCGCUCACCCAACGAUCUUGAACCUUGCUCUAGAUACCAAUUGUUGGAAUAGCCUUGCCUUUGAGACCAGCCUUCCGAUGUGCAUACACGUACGAAGCUGUACCAAGCCCCUGGAUCGACUCCCUCCGGCCGGAACACACGCGUAUACGUAUGAAGUCGCCGGCUAGAAACUCACGCGAGAACACAAGGCACCAGACUCGAUUAUAGCAACAGGGGCGUGUCGCUCCUGCUCCUUUAUUUCUCUUUUUCUGGUACUCUUUACAACGUAUAUGACCACAUAUAUAUAUAUGGGGCCAAACCGACCUGAAGCUAGCUACCUAGCAAUCCAAAACUGAUUCAAACUAGGACUCCUAGUACUUGACGCUCACGUUGGCAUGCAAGCCAUGUCUCCAACUCUAAUACGUAGUUUGGAUUAAUCUCUAACAAUCUCUCCCUAAUCCAAACUUACCACAUCUACGACUCAGACUAAACAUGUCAUGUCUGUACGCUGAGUAUGACCCGCCUGGAAACAUGCAGCGCCUCCUUGCUCUACAAUGUUGUGCCACCGCCAUUGCUUGGCCGCUGCCUUCUACUCGGUCCGCACCAUACUCCUUUUACUUGCUUGCAGUAGAUCCACCCUCCACCGGUCGCACACAUCCUCGCUUUACGAUGGCUUCGCCUACCACCGUCCGCCUUCGGCAUCACACCGAAUCCACACUGGCCACAACUAGGACGCUCCACGAGGACAUGGACAUGACUCACGGAACACCGUGCACACCGCUUCAACCUAUGACUCCUUUGACAAGACGACAGAAAACACAACGACUUUUUUUCUUUUUUUUAUUUUUUUUCUUUUUUCUUUUUCUUUCUCUUUUUUCUUUUUCUUUAGAACAAUCUCGGACCAUCCUCAUCAUCCUGGAUGAGAUUGCAAUCCGCCAGAUUUUUCUUCUUACCCCUCUUCUUUUCCGGACACUCAUAAGCAUGAUGUCCUAGGUCUUGGCAAUUGAAGCACUUGUCCUUCGAUUUAUCAUGACGACGCUCUCUUGCUCUCCACUCCGAUCUUGUCAACAAAAGUUGUUCACCGUCUUGGUCAUCCUCGACAUAGCUGCGCAAUCGUUCCUCCUGAACCUUCAACCUCCCCAUGACUUCCUCCAUAGUCAUCGUCUUCAAAUCGCCAAACUACUCUAUGGCAGAUGCAAUCUGGAGAAACUUUGGUGGGACAGCUCGAAGGAUUUUCUUAACGGCGGUUGUCUCCUCGAACUUUUCUCCAAGCCCUUGUAUCACAUUGACGAUGGUUGUCAUCCGGAGAGCAAAGUCAUCGAUUGUUUCCGUGUCCUUCAUCUUGAGCCUCUCGAACUCAGACUUGAGGGUUUGCAACCUCGCCUCCUUGAUGCGAUCGUCCGCAAGACGAUUCGUCUUUAUCGCCUCCCAAGCUUCAUGUGAUGUCGUCUUCUCAGCAAUGAAGGCGAACACAUCAUCCGGGAUACUUUGAUAGAUAGCCGUCAACGCCUUCUGAUCCAUCGUGUCGUCCACCUUGCCGGAGACGGCCACCACCGCAUCCCGAACUCCUUGUGCGCGCAUCAACGCCUUCAUCUUGAUCGCCCAAAUCGACUAGUUGCUCUUCGCCAGCAUCGGGUAUUGGACAAACACGCUUCCUCCUUUUUCAGCCAUGUAUUUGAUCGUCGCUCGACGCAGUCACAGCACUCACCCAACGAUCUUGAACCUUGCUCUAGAUACCAAUUGUUGGAAUAGCCUUGCCUUUGAGACCAGCCUUCCGCUGCGCAUACACGUACGAAGAUGUACUAAGCCCCUGGAUCGACUCCCUCCGGUCGGAACACACGCGUAUACGUAUGAAGUCACCGGCUAGAAACUCACGCGAGAACACAAGGCACCAAACUCGAUUAUAGCAACAGGGGCGUGUCGCUCCUGAUCCUUUAUUUCUCUUUUUCUGGUACUCUUUACAACGUAUAUGACCACAUAUAUAUGGGGCCAAACCAACCUGAAGCUAGCUAACCUAGCAAUCCAAAACUGAUUCAAACUAGGACUCCUAGUACUUGACGCUCACGUUGGCAUGCAAGCCACGUCUCGAACUCUAAUACGUAGUUUGGAUUAAUCUCUAACAAUCUCUCCCUAAUCCAAACUUACCACAUCUACGACUCAGACUAAACAUGUCAUGUCUGUACGCUGAGUAUGACCCUCCUGGAAACAUGCAGCGCCUCCUUGCUCUACAAUGUUGUGCCACCGCCAUUGCUUGGCCGCUGCCUUGCACUCGGUCCGCACCAUACUCCUUGUACUUGCUUGUAGUAGAUCCACCCUCCACCGGUCGCAUACAUCCUCGCUUUACGAUGGCUUCGCCUACCAUCGUCCGCCUUCGGCAUCACACCGAAUCCACACUGGCCACAACCAGGACGCUCCACAAGGACAUGGACAUGACUCACGGAACACCGUGCACACCGCUUCAACCUGUGACUCCUUUGACAAGACGACAGAAAUCACAACGAAUUUUUUUUCUUUUUUUCUUUUUUUCUUUUUCUUUCUCUUUUUUCUUUUUUUUAGAUGUAACUUUUCGAGUAGAUGAUUUUUCAUAUAAAAAACUUUUUCAUCCGAGUUAGUAUGCAAAAGUUAUGCCCAUUUUUACAAAUUUCAGAGAGAUUUUGCAAAUAAAGUCAAAAUUCACAUUUUUAAAUUUUCCCAACAACUAGACCACAUAUCACAUGGGAAACUUAUUUUCUUUCAUUUUUUUGACAUUUCCAUCAUUUUCUUUUAUUUUUUUUAAAAACUGAAAAGGCGAUCCAGGGGGGUAGAGUUUGAAAAUGGGACCUUUAGUACCGGUUCGUGACACGAACCGGGACUAAAGGUCUCAUCCCCAUUAGUCCCGGUUCGUGCCUCAAACCGGGACUAAAAGUCUAAUCUUUAGUCCCGGUUUGUGGCACGAACCGGGACCAAUAGUAGUGGGCCAGGAGCGAGGCCCAUUGGUCCCGGUUCAUCCCACCAACCGGGACCAAAAGGUCCAGAUGAACCGGGACCAAUGGCCCACGUGGCCCGGCCGGCCCCCUGGGCUCACGAACCGGGACCAAUGGGAGCAUUGAUCCUGAUUCUGGACUGAACCGGGACUAAUGGGGUCAUCCGGCUUGGACCAAAGCCCCCUUUUCUACUAGUGCAUGUUCUUGAUCGUCGCUCGACGCAGUCACAGCGCUCACCCAACGAUCUUGAACCUUGCUCUAGAUACCAAUUGUUGGAAUAGCCUUGCCUUUGAGACCAGCCUUCCGAUGCGCAUACACGUACGAAGCUGUACCAAGCCCCUGGAUCGACUCCCUCCGGCCGGAACACACGCGUAUACGUACGAAGUCGCCGGCUAGAAACUCACGCGAGAACACAAGGCACCAGACUCGAUUAUAGCAACAGGGGCGUGUCGCUCCUGAUCCUUUAUUUCUCUUUUUCUAGUACUCUUUACAACGUAUAUGACCACAUAUAUAUAUGGGGCCAAACCGACCUGAAGCUAGCUAACCUAGCAAUCCAAAACUGAUUCAAACUAGGACUCCUAGUACUUGACGCUCACCUUGGCAUGCAAGCCAUGUCUCCAACUCUAAUACGUAGUUUGGAUUAAUCUCUAACAAUCUCUCCCCAAUCCAAACUUACCACAUCUACGACUCAGACUAAACAUGUCAUGUCUGUACCUGAGUAUGACCCGCCUGGAAACAUGCAGCGCCUCCUUGCUCUACAAUGUUGUGCCACCGCCAUUGCUUGGCCGCUGCCUUGCACUCGGUCCGCAACAUACUCCUUGUACUUGCUUGCAGUAGAUCCACCCUCCACCGGUCGCACACAUCCUCGCUUUACGAUGGCUUCGCCUACCACCGUCCGCCUUCGGCAUCACACCGAAUCCACACUGGCCGAAACCAGGACGCUCCACGAGGACAUGGACAUGACUCACGAAACACCGUGCACACCGCUUCAACGUGUGACUCCUUUGACAAGACGAAAGAAAACACAAUGACCUUUUUUCUUUUUUUUCUUUUUUUCUUUUUUUCUUUUUUUCUUUUUUUCUUUUUCUUUCUCUUUUUUCUUUUUCUUUAGAUGUAAAUUUUCGAGUAGAUGAUUUUUCAUAUAAAAAACUUUUUCAUCCGAGUUAGUAUGCAAAAGUUAUGCCCAUUUUUACAAAUUUCAGAGUGAUUUUGCAAAUAAAGUCAAAAUUCACAUUUGCAAAUUUUCCCAACAACUAGACCACAUAUCACAUGGGAAACUUAUUUUCUUUUAUUUUUUUGACAUUUCCAUCAUUUUCUUUUAUUUUUUUAAAAACUGAAAAGGCGAUCCACAGGGGGGGUAGAGUUUGAAAAUGGGACCUUCAGUACCGGUUCGUGGCACGAACUGGGACUAAAGGUCUCAUCCCCAUUAGUCCCGGUUCGUGCCUCAAACCGGGACUAAAGGUCUAAUCUUUAGUCCCGGUUUGAGGCACGAACCGGGACCAAUAGUUGUGGGCCAGGAGCGAGGCCCAUUGCUCCCGGUUCAUCCCACCAACCGGGACCAAAAGGUCCAGAUGAACCGGGACCAAUGGCCCGCGUGGCCCGGCCGGACCCCUGGGCUCACGAACCGGGACCAAUGCUCCCAUUGGUCCCGGUUCUGGACUGAACCGGGACUAAUGGGGUCAACCGGCCUGGACCAAAGCCCACUUUUCUACUAGUGCAUGUUCUUGAUCGUCGCUCGACGUAGUCAUAGCGCUCACCCAACGAUCUUGAACCUUGCUCUAGAUAUCAAUUGUUGGAAUAGCCUUGCCUUUGAGACUAGCCUUCCGAUGCGCAUACACGUACGAAGCUGUACCAAGCCCCUGUAUCAACUCCCUCCGGCCGGAACACACGCGUAUACGUACGAAGUCGCCGGCUAGAAACUCACGCGAGAACACAAGGCACCAGACUCGAUUAUAGCAACAGGGGCGUGUCGCUCCUGAUCCUUUAUUUCUCUUUUUCUGGUACUCUUUACAUCGUAUAUGACCACAUAUAUAUAUGGGGCCAAACCGACCUCCUUUAUUUCUCUUUUUCUGGUACUCUUUACAUCGUAUAUGACCACAUAUAUAUAUGGGGCCAAACCGACCUGAAGCUAGCUAACCUAGCAAUCCAAAACUGAUUCAAACUAGGACUCCUAGUACUUGACGCUCACGUUGGCAUGCAAGCCACGUCUCCAACUCUAAUACGUAGUUUGGAUUAAUCUCUAACAAUCUCUCCCCAAGCCAAACUUACCACAUCUACAACUCAGACUAAACAUGUCAUGUCUGUACGCUGAGUAUGACCCGCCUGGAAACAUGCAGCGCCUCCUUGCUCUACAAUGUUGUGCCACCGCCAUUGCUUGGCCACUGCCUUGCACUCGGUCCGCACCAUACUCCUUGUACUUGCUUGCAGUAGAUCCACCCUCCACCGGUUGCACACAUCCUCGCUUUACGAUGGCUUCGCCUACCACCGUCCGCCUUCGGCAUCACACCAAAUCCACACUGGCCGCAACCAGGACGCUCCACGAGGAAAUGGACAUGACUCACGAAACACCGUGCACACCGCUUCAACCUGUGCCUCCUUUGACAAGACGAAAGAAAACACAACGACUUUUUUUCUUUUUUUUCUUUUUUCCUUUUUUUCUUUUUUUCUUUUCCUUUCUCCUUUUUCUUUUUCUUUAGAUGUAACUUUUCGAGUAGAUGAUUUUUCAUAUAAAAAACUUUUUCAUCCGAGUUAGUAUGCAAAAGUUAUGCCCAUUUUUACAAAUUUCAGAGAGAUUUUGCAAAUAAAGUCAAAAUUCACAUUUGCAAAUUUUCCCAACAACUAGACCACAUGUCACAUGGGAAACUUAUUUUCUUUUAUUUUUUUGACAUUUCCAUCAUUUUCUUUUAUUUUUUUUAAAACUGAAAAGGCGAUCCAGGGGGGUAGAGUUUGAAAAUGGGAUCUUUAGUACCGGUUCGUGGCACGAACCGGGACUAAAGGUCUCAUCCCCAUUAGUCCCGGUUCGUGCCUCAAACCGGGACUAAAGGUCUAAUCUUUAGUCCCGGUUUGAGGCACGAACCGGGACCAAUAGUUGUGGGCCAGGAGCGAGGCCCAUUGGUCCCGGUUCAUCCCACCAACUGGAACCAAAAGGUCCAGAUGAACUGGGACCAAUGGCCCACGUGGCCCGGCCGGCCCCCUGGGCUCACGAACCGGGACCAAUGCUCCCAUUGGUCCCGGUUCUGGACUUAACCGGGACUAAUGGGGUCACCCGGCCUGGACCAAAGCCCACUUUUCUACUAGUGCAUGUUCUUGAUCGUCGCUCGACGCAGUCAUAGCGCUCACCCAACAAUCUUGAACCUUGCUCUAGAUACCAAUUGUUGGAAUAGCCUUGCCUUUGAGACCAGCCUUCCGAUGCGCAUACACGUACGAAGCUGUACCAAACCCCUGGAUCGAUUCCCUCCCGCCGGAACACACGCGUAUACGUACGAAGUCGCCGGCUAGAAACUCACGCGAGAACACAAGGCACCAGACUCGAUUAUAGCAACAGGGGCGUGUCGCUCAUGAUCCUUUAUUUCGCUUUUUCUGGUACUCUUUACAACGUAUAUGACCACAUAUAUAUAUAUAUGGGGCCAAACCGACCUGAAGCUAGCUAACCUAGCAGUCCAAAACUGAUUCAAACUAGGACUCCUAGUACUUGACGCUCAAGUUGGCAUGCAAGCCACGUCUCCAACUCUAAUACGUAGUUUGGAUUAAUCUCUAACAAUCUCUCCCUAAUCCAAACUUACCACAUCUACGACUCAGACUAAACAUGUCAUGUCUGUACGCUGAGUAUGACCCGCCUGGAAACAUGCAACGCCUCCUUGCUCUACAAUGUUGUGCCACCGCCAUUGCUUGGCCGCUGCCUUGCACUCGGUCCGCAUCAUACUCCUUGUACUUGCUUGCAGUAGAUCCACCCUCCACCGGUCGCACACAUCCUCGCUUUACGAUGGCUUCGCCUACCACCGUCCGCCUUCGGCAUCACACCGAAUCCACACUGGCCGCAACUAGGACGCUCCACGAGGACAUGGACAUGACUCACGGAGCACCGUGCACACCGCUUCAACCUGUGACUCCUUUGACAAGACGACAGAAAACACAACGACUUUUUUUCUUUUUUUUCCUUUUUUUUCUUUUUUUUCUUUUUUCUUUUUCUUUCUCUUUUUUCUUUUUCUUUAGAACAAUCUCGGACCAUCCUCAUCAUCCUGGAUGAGAUUGCAAUCCGCCAGAUUUUUCUUCUUACCCCUCUUCUUUUCCGGACACUCAUAAGCAUGAUGUCCUAGGUCUUGGCAAUUGAAGCACUUGUCCUUGGAUUUAUCAUGACGACGCUCUCUUGCUCUCCACUCCGAUCUUGUCAACAAAAGUUGUUCACCGUCUUGGUCAUCCUCGACAUAGCUGCGCAAUCGUUCCUCAUGAACCUUCAACCUCCCCAUGACUUCCUCCAUAGUCAUCGUCUUGAAAUCGCCAAACUGCUCUAUGGCAUAUGCAACCUGGAGAAACUUUGGCGGGACAGCUCGAAGGAUUUUCUUAACGGCGGUUGUCUCCUCGAACUUUUCUCCAAGCCCUCGUAUCCCAUUGACGAUGGUUGUCAUCCGGAGAGCAAAGUCAUCGAUUGUUUCCGUGUCCUUCAUCUUGAGCCUCUCGAACUCAGACUUGAGGGUUUGCAACCUCGCCUCCUUGAUGCGAUCGUCCCCAAGAUGAUUCGUCUUUAUCGCCUCCCAAGCUUCAUGUGAUGUCGUCUUCUCAGCAAUAAAGGCGAACACAUCAUCCGGGAUACUUUGAUAGAUAGCCGUCAACGCCUUCUGAUCCAUCGUGUCAUCCACCUUGCCGGAGACGGCCACCACCGCAUCCCAAACUCCUUGUGCGCGCAUCAACGCCUUCAUCUUGAUCGCCCAAAUCGACUAGUUGCUCUUCGUCAGCAUCAGGUAUUGGACAAACACGCUUCCUCCUUUUUCAGCCAUGUUCUUGAUCGUCGCUCGACGCAGUCACAGCGCUCACCCAACGAUCUUGAACCUUGCUCUAGAUACCAAUUGUUGGAAUAGCCUUGCCUUUGAGACCAGCCUUCCGCUGCGCAUACACGUACGAAGCUGUACCAAGCCCCUGGAUCGACUCCCUCCGGCCGGAACACACGCGUAUACGUACGAAGUCGCCGGCUAGAAACUCACGCGAGAACACAAGGCACCAGACUCGAUUAUAGCAACAGGGGCGUGUCGCUCCUGAUUCUUUAUUUCUCUUUUUCUGGUACUCUACAACGUAUAUGACCACAUAUAUAUAUGGGGCCAAACCGACCUGAAGCUUGCUAACCUAGCAAUCCAAAACUGAUUCAAACUAGGACUCCUAGUACUUGACGCUCACGUUGGCAUGCAAGCCACGUCUCCAACUCUAAUACGUAGUUUGGAUUAAUCUCUAACAAUCUGUCCCUAAUCCAAACUUACCACAUCUACGACUCAGACUAAACAUGUCAUGUCUGUACGCUGAGUAUGACCCGCCUGGAAACAUGCAGCGCCUCCUUGCUCUACAAUGUUUUGCCAUCGCCAUUGCUUGGCCGCUGCCUUGCACUCGAUCCGCACCAUACUCCUUGUACUUGCUUGCAGUAGAUUCACCCUCCACCGGUCGCACACAUCCUCGCUUUACGAUGGCUUCGCCUACCACCGUCCGCUUUCGGCAUCACACCGAAUCCACACUGGCCGCAACCAGGAUGCUCCACGAGGACAUGGACAUGACUCACGGAACACCGUGCACACCGCUUCAACCUGUGACUCCUUUGACAAGACGACAGAAAACACAACGAAUUUUUUUCUUUUUUUUCUUUUUUUUCUUUUUUCUUUUUCUUUCUCUUUUUUCUUUUUCUUUAGAACAAUCUCGGACCAUCCUCAUCAUCCUGGAUGAGAUUGCAAUCCGCCAGAUUUUUCUUCUUACCCCUCUUCUUUUCCGGACACUCAUAAGCAUGAUGUCCUAAGUCUUGGCAAUUGAAGCACUUGUCCUUGGAUUUAUCAUGACGACGCUCUCUUGCUCUCCACUCCGAUCUUGUCAACAAAAGUUGUUCACCGUCUUGGUCGUCCACGACAUAGCUGCGCAAUCGUUCCUCAUGAACCUUCAACCCCCCAUGACUUCACUACAACAUGACAGAGCUUUGGUAACACAGUGUUGUGUUACUAUAGGCCCAAAACAGUGUUACUAGACUACAUAGUAACAUGUUUUCAAAUGUGUUCCAUUAGACCGUGUUACUAAGUGGUGUCCACUGUCACAUAUAGUAAUUGUUACCAUAUAUCAAAAAUUGUGUUACAAUUAAGUUAUAGUAACAUGCAUAUUUUGUGUUACAAAUCGCGUUGGUAACACAUUUUUGUAACUAUAGUAACACCCAUAGUAACAUGUUUUUGUAAACAUAGAACAUUGUGGUAACAUGUUUUUGUAAUUAUAGUAACACAACUUGUAACAUAAUAUACAAAUAUCACAAGACAACACUGGUAACACAUUUUGUAACUAUAGUAACACCAUCAGUAACACUACUAUAUUAGAAUGGCAACAUAAUUAAUGUAUUUUUAAAAUUAUUAACCACAGAAGUAGAUACCCAUUUUAUGGAAUAUUCAUUUAUUUAAUAAAAUUAUUAUGGCUGCUAAAAUAGUUAAUUACUUUAUUAUGAUGCUUGGCUUCAUUAAAAUGAUAUACACAAAUUGAAAAUAUCAAGGUAUUUAUUAUGAAUAUACAAGAGUGUAGGAUACAUAUGCAUUACAAUAAAUACAUACCAAUGUUAUUGGCUAGACAUCAUAUCAUUCAUAUAUAUUUUACUAUAGAGAACACAUCUAUGAAGAAUAUUACACCAUAGCAUUUGCAUCAAUUCGACCAAAGAAAAAGAUCUUCUGAAUGGUGUUACAUUUUUCAAUCUAUCAAUGCAAACUACAAUUAUUGCUAAGUAAAGUCUUCUAAUUACAUUUGCUUCUUCAUCCAACCGAAGAACGGUUCAGCUGCAACUCCAUUAUGCUUCUUUUGAAUCUGUAAAAGGAAAAUGGACCUUACAGUUAUGUGAUUAAAUGCACACAAAUAUAAUUGUGGAAUAUGGAAGAAAAGACUCCGACUUACAAAAGCUGGAGGUUGGACAAUUAAGUAUCCUGAAGCAAAAGCAUCACCAAUUCUCUUGCAAUCAGAAACUUACCUUACUAACUCCUCAUUAUCCAGAAUAGGUUCAUCUAUGCACACAAGUGCAAAUUUGGCACCUAACUAAAUAUCACCAACCUUAGUUUCUAGAUGAAUACUCUGAAUAGUAGCAUAUGCAACAUUUCGCUGGUUUGGAUAUGUUAAAGUCUUUAAAACUACUUUGGAUGCAACCUAUAUUAUGAUGAAUAUUAUUAUUCAACAACAAUAAUUAUAGGAUUUGCAUGAACAUUACUUCAAUGGAUACACAUAGUCAUACUUCAGGAAGGUUAUCAUGACCAUUCACUUUCUUAGGGAUACACAUUCAGACUGCAGGUGGGACUAAUAAAGGGAUGCCCACACCUGCACGCAUGUGUUAGGCGCAACGGCGGAGCAAGGAAUUAUACAUAAGGGGGGCCGAACAUUGAACAAAAUUCUAAAAUGCAACAUGGUCUAUGGAAUAUGUAGGAUUUUUUUCAAGGAAAAAAUAUAGGAAUUGACCAAGGAUAUGGCAAAAUAGGUACUAUUUUUACUAAUAAAAAGUUGAUAACAUAGACAUAUCACAUAGAUAGCCCGAGAGCAAAAUGUUGAAUUAUAUGACGACGAACGAACAAUUACCAAUUGAACUGCAUAGAACUUCUGUCGUAUUCAAUCCAUCAAAGAUGAUUUUUUUGGGUGCUACAUUGGUGAAAAUGCCAGCCAAAAUUUAAUUAUUUAUUUUGAAACAAAGUAACCAAGAGGUAUCCAUAAAUUACAACACCAAAAUUUGCCUUGUUUUCAUGCUUGUGGUUGUGCUGGGCAUGUGCGUGUGUAUGUGCUUUCUAGUACCUAACUAAAGUACCCGCAAGAUGUUUUUUAACAGUAGACAUUCCAUGGAAAAGUUAUAAAUAAUAUAAACAUUCGAUACGAGUUGUCAACAAGCGCGUUAUGACUGCAUAAACAUAUACCUGAAAACCAGUAGCCAUGGUUACACUGUUACAGUGGCUUUAAGCAACAUGGAAUUGAUAUGCAUAAACCCUUGAGGCAUCGACACUAACCGAGCUCCCCGCAAACAUUCUGUAAGAGAUAAAUAACUUGAGACAGAAAUAGAUGUACAACCAAAAGGUACAGGCUAUAAGCACGCGGUAAAACCUCAUGUUCAACAAUUUUGUAAUUAAAUGUAGAACCUAUUUUGCACAUAAUGUAACCAGGAUGAAUACUUGGUAAAAGAUGAUGUUAUCUUACAUUUACCUAAAUAAAAAAAGUAACCAGGAUGGGUACUUAGUACAAGGUGGUGCUAUCACCCAUUUGAUUAUAUCAAACUCGCAGAUGAGAUUGAGAUAUGAGAAAUACAAUAAUUAAAGUGGAAACGAACAGACGAGCUUCUGCUGUAUUUUCAUAGUGAUUAUUGGGAUAUACUACACUAAAAUGACCAUACAUCUACUAGAACCUUUACCAUGAAAACCACUAUGUACGUAUUACACCUACAUUCCCUGUCAGUAAAGUAGAUGUUCGUGUUGCUCUUCACAAUCUCUACUACCCAAUCUAACGGGUCGGAGUUUGCCGAGUGGCAAAGGAGCAAAGCAAGCCUUUGCCAAGAUUGAGACUCUGUAGACCUGUUUAGCUGAAUUAAAAAAAUGCACAGGUACUCGGGUAUGUAUAUAUGUAUAUGUGCCAGUUUGACAGUAUUCGAGUAUGUACGGAUAUAUGACGAGUAUUCAGGUAUGUACAUCUCCACCACGGCCAAGAACACAUACUACUAUUAUUAGCAGGAGAAUCAAUUAGCAGCGGGCAUGUACCCACGACGCCGGCCUCGCAUCAUGUCUUUCCACUAGUAAACAAACAAGCAAACAGCCUGCUGGAUGGAUUAUGGUGGAAGCUAGCUUACAUAUGGAUCGAUUCCUCGUGGAUCCUAGCAGAUGACGAGGAACGGUGGCUCCUAGCGCGGGAGACGCGCACGGCCCAUGCGCCCAUUCUCCUCAAGCCUCUUCAAUUAUUCAUCGCCGCCGGAAGGAGGGAUGGUUGCCGACGCUCCCGGCUGGAUCUACCAAUGGCUCCGGCGGCUGCGCGCUCCUCAUGGUCACCUCCUCGGGCCUCCUCCAAGCUCCAGCCUAGUGGUGAGGAGGAAACGGCCCCGGGUCCCAGGUGCGUGGGUGACCUACGGAGAAAGGGGCGAGCGGUGGCGGCAUGAGGCCUCCAGGCUAGCGGCGGUGACUUGCGGCGGCUUCGAUCGCUAGGCGUGGGUGCGAAGGGAUAAGGAGAGAGGGGGAUAAAAG